CCUACGGGGGGCAGCAGUGGGGAAUAUUGGACAAUGGGGGGAACCCUGAUCCAGCCAUGCCGCGUGUGUGAAGAAGGCCCUCGGGUUGUAAAGCACUUUCAGUGAGGAAGAACGCCUGGUGGUUAAUACCCAUCAGGAAAGACAUCACUCACAGAAGAAGCACCGGCUAACUCCGUGCCAGCAGCCGCGGUAAUACGGAGGGGGCGAGCGUUAAUCGGAAUUACUGGGCGUAAAGCGCGCGUAGGUGGCUUGAUAAGCCGGUUGUGAAAGCCCCGGGCUCAACCUGGGAACGGCAUCCGGAACUGUCAAGCUAGAGUGCAGGAGAGGAAGGUAGAAUUCCCGGUGUAGCGGUGAAAUGCGUAGAGAUCGGGAGGAAUACCAGUGGCGAAGGCGGCCUUCUGGACUGACACUGACACUGAGGUGCGAAAGCGUGGGUAGCAAACAGGAUUAGAUACCCGUGUAGUC
rnacentral:rRNA from 1 species